AUUGAACGCUGGCGGUAGGCCUAACACAUGCAAGUCGAACGCGGAAGUCCUUCGGGAUGAGUAGAGUGGCGGACGGGUGAGUAACGCGUAGGAAUCUAUCCUGUAGUGGGGGAUAACGUUUCGAAAGGAACGCUAAUACCGCAUACGCCCCACGGGGGAAAGCGGGGGAUCUUCGGACCUCGUGCUAUAGGAGGAGCCUGCGUCGGAUUAGCUAGUUGGUGAGGUAAAGGCUCACCAAGGCGACGAUCCGUAGCUGGUCUGAGAGGAUGAUCAGCCACACCGGAACUGGGACACGGUCCGGACUCCUACGGGAGGCAGCAGUGGGGAAUAUUGCGCAAUGGGCGAAAGCCUGACGCAGCCAUACCGCGUGUGUGAAGAAGGCCUUCGGGUUGUAAAGCACUUUCAGUGGGGAGGAAAAGCUGGUGGCUAAUAUCCAUCGGCCGUGACGCUACCCACAGAAGAAGCACCGGCUAACUUCGUGCCAGCCGCCGCCGUAAGAC
rnacentral:rRNA from 1 species